CCCAAGGGUAUGGCUGUUCGCCAUUUAAAGUGGUACGCGAGCUGGGUUUAGAACGUCGUGAGACAGUUCGGUCCCUAUCUGCCGUGGGCGUUGGAAGAUUGAAGGGGGCUGCUCCUAGUACGAGAGGACCGGAGUGGACGAACCUCUGGUGUUCGGGUUGUGUCGCCAGACGCAUUGCCCGGUAGCUAAGUUCGGAAUCGAUAACCGCUGAAAGCAUCUAAGCGGGAAGCGAGCCCUGAGAUGAGUCUUCCCUGAUACUUUAAGUAUCCUAAAGGGUUGUCGGAGACUACGACGUUGAUAGGUCAGGUGUGUAAGUGCUGUGAGGCAUUGAGCUAACUGAUACUAAUUGCCCGUGAGGCUUAACCAUACAACACCUAAGGGGUUU
rnacentral:rRNA from 1 species